rnacentral:rRNA from 1 species
CCUACGAGUGGCAGCAGUGAGGAAUAUUGGUCAAUGGACGCAAGUCUGAACCAGCCAUGCCGCGUGCAGGAAGACGGCUCUAUGAGUUGUAAACUGCUUUUGUACGAGGGUAAAUCCCGAUACGUGUAUCGGGUUGAAAGUAUCGUACGAAUAAGGAUCGGCUAACUCCGUGCCAGCAGCCGCGGUAAUACGGAGGAUUCGAGCGUUAUCCGGAUUUAUUGGGUUUACAGGGUGCGAAGGCGGUCUGUUAAGUCAGCGGUCAAAGCCCGGGGCUCAACCCCGGACUGCCUUUGAUACUGGCGGUCUCGAGUUUGAGAGAAGUAUGCGGAAUGCGCGGUGUAGCGGUGAAAUGCAUAGAGAUCGUGCAGAACUCCGAUUGCGAAGGCAGCAUGCCGGCUCCACACUGACGUUGAGGCACGAAAGCGUGGGUAGCGAACAGGAUUAGAUACCCUGGUAGUC